AGGGAAGGAACACCAGGGAUACCGGUUACUGGGCAUAUAAUAGGUGACCAACCAAGGCGUGAAUUGGGGAAUAUUCCCAAGACACUCAUCAUCAAAAAGAGGGCUAAAAAGCAAACUCGAUCACAGGAUGAGCAUUCGAUUCCACAAAAGGGGAUACAAACCUUACUCGACAUGGGGAAGAUCAAAAGACUUCGACCAAAGAGCGCAUGAGAUAUAUUAUCUAUUACCGUCAGAACGUAGAUAAUAUACUCGCAUGGAAGAUUAUC
rnacentral:lncRNA from 1 species